rnacentral:rRNA from 1 species
CAGCAGCCGCGGGAAUACGGGGGGGGCAAGUGUUAUUCGGAAUGACUGGGCGUAAAGGGCACGUAGGCGGUGAAAAGGGUGGAAAGUGAAAGUCGCCAAAACACUGGCGGGGUGCUUUCUUGACCAUUUCACUUGAGUGAGAUAGGGGAGAGUGGAAUUUCGUGUGGAGGGAUCAAAUCCUAAGAUAUACGAAGGAACGCCAACCGCGAAGGCAGCUCUCUGGGUCCCCACUGACGCUGGGGUGCGAAAGCAUGGGGAGCAAACAGGAUCAGAUACCCGCGUAGUCCCUGUCUCUUAUACA